rnacentral:rRNA from 1 species
GCUUGCGGCGUGCUUAACACAUGCAAGUCGAACGAGAAAGUUACCUUCGGGUAGCGAGUAAAGUGGCGCACGGGUGAGUAACGCGUAGAUAAUCUACCCUUGUGUACGGGACAACAUCGGGAAACUGGUGCUAAUACCGGAUACGUUUCUUUAGUAGCGAUAUUAGAGAAAGAAAGAUGGCCUCUUCUUGAAAGCUAUCGCACGAGGAUGAGUCUGCGUACCAUUAGCUAGUAGGUGGGGUAACGGCCCACCUAGGCGACGAUGGUUAGCGGGUCUGAGAGGAUGAUCCGUCACACUGGCACUGGAACACGGGCCAGACUCCUACGGGAGGCAGCAGUGAGGAAUUUUGCACAAUGGGGGCAACCCUGAUGCA